rnacentral:rRNA from 1 species
CCUCAAAGAGGGGGACAACAGUUGGAAACGACUGCUAAUACCGCAUACGAUCCAAUCUCGGCAUCGAGACUGGAUGAAAGGUGGCCUCUAUUUAUAAGCUAUCACUGAAGGAGGGGACUGCGUCUGAUUAGCUAGUUGGAGGGGUAACGGCCCACCAAGGCGAUGAUCAGUAGCCGGUCUGAGAGGAUGAACGGCCACAUUGGGACUGAGACACGGCCCAG